rnacentral:rRNA from 1 species
GAUGAACGCUGGCGGCGUGCCUAAUACAUGCAAGUCGAGCGAACGGACGAGAAGCUUGCUUCUCUGAUGUUAGCGGCGGACGGGUGAGUAACACGUGGAUAACCUACCUAUAAGACUGGGAUAACUUCGGGAAACCGGAGCUAAUACCGGAUAAUAUUUUGAACCGCAUGGUUCAAAAGUGAAAGACGGUCUUGCUGUCACUUAUAGAUGGAUCCGCGCUGCAUUAGCUAGUUGGUAAGGUAACGGCUUACCAAGGCAACGAUGCAUAGCCGACCUGAGAGGGUGAUCGGCCACACUGGAACUGAGACACGGUCCAGACUCCUACGGGAGGCAGCAGUAGGGAAUCUUCCGCAUAGGGCGAAAGCCUGACGGAGCAACGCCGCGUGAGUGAUGAAGGUCUUCGGAUCGUAAAACUCUGUUAUUAGGGAAGAACAUAUGUGUAAGUAACUGUGCACAUCUUGACGGUACCUAAUCAGAAAGCCACGGCUAACUACGUG